rnacentral:rRNA from 1 species
GUAAGAGACUAGUGUUAUUCAUCAUAAAUAGGUUUAAAGGGUACUUAGACGGGAAAAUUUGCCUUGAUUGGUACGAUUUUUCUAGAGUUUUAUGUGAAAAGGUAGUACUCAUGUGUGAAGAGAUAAAAUUUGUUGAUACCUAGGAGGACUGGUAAAGGCGAAGGCAACCUUUUAUGUAAAAACUGACGUUAAAGGACGAAGGCACAGGGCACGAACAGGAUUAGAUACCCUAAUAGUCUUUGCAGAGAAUUAUGAAUGCCAUAGGUUAGAUAGAGGUCAGGUACCUAAACGAUUAAAAUAUGGAGGCUUUUUUUACCGGCUCCGCCGCUGAAAAUAAAAAAGAUACAUUUUUAUAGGUAACCGAGAUUUGUCUGUAAUUCUUCUAAACAUGGAAUUAUAAAGAUAGAUUUCUUUAGAGAUCUCGAACAUUUAGUCUAUAAACGAAAGUGUAAGCAUUUCACCUCAAGAGUAAUGUGGCAACACAGGAACUGAAAUCACUAGACCGUUUCUGACACCAGCAGUGAAGUAUGUUAUUUAAUUCGAUGAUCCACGAAAAACCUUACCACAAUUUGAAUAUUAAUAAUAAUAACAUUAUUAAUACAAGCGUUGCACGGCUGUCUUCAGUUAAUGUUGUGAAACUGUGGUUCGGUCCAUAAAAUUAACGAAAACCCUAGCUUUAUUUAUAAAAAUACAAAUUAAUUAUAAAGCAGUUCACCUUUAUAUUGUAUAUGAUAAAAGGGACCAAGGCAAGUCAUCAUG